rnacentral:rRNA from 1 species
AACGAACGCUGGCGGCAGGCCUAACACAUGCAAGUCGAACGGGCGUAGCAAUACGUCAGUGGCGGACGGGUGAGUAACACGUGGGAAUAUGCCUUUCGGUUCGGAACAACUCGGGGAAACUCGUGCUAAUUCCGGAUACGCCCUUACGGGGAAAGAUUUAUCGCCGAAAGAUUAGCCCGCGUCCGAUUAGCUAGUUGGUGAGGUAAAGGCUCACCAAGGCACCGAUCGGUAGCUGGUUUGAGAGAACGACCAGCCACACUGGGACUGAGACACGGCCCAGACUCCUACGGGAGGCAGCAGUGGGGAAUCUUGGACAAUGGGCGCAAGCCUGAUCCAGCCAUGCCGCGUGAGUGAUGAAGGCCUU